AUUUCUGCAACAUAUCUUCUUAAUUUGUUUGGUUCCGACUUCUAUUUUUUUCUCCCUGCAUGAAGGAGCUUACAUCAACUCUCGAUGCUGCUUGUGCCCCUAGUGAUCUGGAUUGAUCUGCAGCAAUACCUGAACUCAAUGUUGUUUAUGGUAGAGUGAGCAGGCGCAAGGUCCCAAUCUGAAAGUUGUGGCAGCUAAGCUGGCUACUGAUCUGCAUGUACUGAUCUGCACAUCAGUUACUUGCAUUUUCCAUAAUGAGAUGCAACUAGGAUAGCCAACAAUUUGGGCUGCUGUCUGACGGGUUUUCCUCCUCACAGGAACAUCGAAUACUGCGUGUAUCUACAGGGGAGCUUGGUGCUGCUCGGGCAAACCAAGACAAUGCAGACACAAAAGACUUAAAAGAGCAGGUUUCCAACCUCAAAGCAGCUUUAGCCAAGAAGGAAGAAGAAAUGGAGAACCUUUCUCGUCCAUUAACCAGCACUCCAGAAACAAUCUGGCGCUGAUUUGAAGAAUGCAGCUGAAAUAAAUAGGUGUCAUAUUUCCGGCCCUUAUUUGUCAAGAUCUGAAGAUCUCCGUGUUUUUUUCAUGCAUAUAAUUUUUGAAAUGUAUAGUUUCCAUAUCAGCACUGUAUAUUAUAUUAUAUUAUUAUCGUCUUUGCUUUUUUACGAUGAAAUCUUGCUUUAUAUAUUACCCAAA